rnacentral:rRNA from 1 species
GAUGAACGCUGGCGGCGUGCUUAACACAUGCAAGUCGAACGGAACUACCCCAAUGAGAGUCUUCGGACGGGUUUCGGUCUGGUUUAUAACCGGACGGUAGCGUAACGCGUGGUUAACCUUACCUUUAGAGAGGGGUAACUGUUGCCAACUACUGUUACUACCGCCUUAGCGCACAGGAGAGCAUUCCGCGGUGUGAGAAACUACGGUGGUAUAGGAUGGACCCGCGUCUGGUUAUCGGGUAGGCGGGGUUACGGCGCACCAAGGCGACGAUGAGUAGCCGGCCUGGGAGGGUGAACGGUCGCGUUGGAACUGAGACACGGACCAAUCUCCUACGGGGGGGAGCGGUGGGGAGUAUUGCAGAAUGGGGGAAACCCUGAUACAGCGACGCCGGGUGAGCGAAGAAGUAGCUCGGUAUGUAAAGCUCUAUCAGCAGAGGAGAGAAUGACGGUAACGGACUAAGAAGCCCCGGCUAACUACGUG